AUUGAACGCUGGCGGCAGGCCUAACACAUGCAAGUCGAGCGGAUGAAGGGAGCUUGCUCCUGGAUUCAGCGGCGGACGGGUGAGUAAUGCCUAGGAAUCUGCCUGGUAGUGGGGGAUAACGUCCGGAAACGGGCGCUAAUACCGCAUACGUCCUGAGGGAGAAAGUGGGGGAUCUUUGGAACUCACGCUCUCAGAUGAGCCUAGGUCGGAUUUGCUAGUUGGUGGGGUGAAGGCCUACCAAGGCGACGAUCCGUAACUGGUCUGAGAGGAUGAUCAGUCACCCGGGAGCGGAGACACGGUCCAGGCGCCUACGGGAGGCAGCAGUGGGGAAUGUUGGACAAUGGGCGAAAGCCUGAUACAGCCAGGCCGCGUGUGUGGAGAAAGUCUUCGGAUUGUAAAGCACUUUAAGUUGGGAGGAAGGGCAGUAAGUUAAGACCUUGCUGUUUUGACGUUACCAACAGAAUAAGCACCGGCUAACUUCGUG
rnacentral:rRNA from 1 species